rnacentral:rRNA from 1 species
GUCGAGAAUCUUUCACAAUGGGGGCAACCCUGAUGGAGCGACGCCGCGUGGAGGAUAAGGUCUUCGGAUUGUAAACUCCUGUCAUGCGUGAACAAGGUUGCUUGGUUAAUACCUGGGCAAAUUGAUGGUAACGCAAGAGGAAGAGACGGCUAACUCUGUGCCAGCAGCCGCGGUAAUACAGAGGUCUCAAGCGUUGUUCGGAAUCACUGGGCGUAAAGGGUGCGUAGGUGGCGUGGUAAGUCAGAUGUGAAAGCCCGGGGCUCAACCUCGGAACUGCAUCCGAUACUGCCAUGCUAGAGUACUGGAGAGGUGACUAGAAUUCUCGGUGUAGCAGUGAAAUGCGUAGAUAUCGAGAGGAAUACCAAAGGCGUAGGUAGGUCACUGGACAGUUACUGACACUGAGGCACGAAGGCCAGGGGAGCGAACGGGAUUAGAAACCCUGGUAGUCC